rfam:Gasterosteus aculeatus cont1.006049, whole genome shotgun sequence.
UUUAAAGUGUAAUGUAAGUCGCUUUGGAUAAAAAAGCGUCUGCUAAAUGACCUGUA